rnacentral:misc_RNA from 1 species
AACCGAAUUCUGCUCAGCCCUAAUUGCAUAUGAUAACCUAUACAAAGGUAGUGCUCAAAAUUUUACUGAUAUUAUUUGUUUCUUUUCUAUUAUGUGAGUAGCAGUGAAUUGGCUGGAACUAAGAAUUGGUGUUAAAUUCAUUUAAAUAAUGAGGAACUGGUGGAUUGUUCUUUUUAUCAGUCAUGAUAAUGCAAAAGAUGAGAAAAGGAUUAAGAUAUUUCUCUUUCUUUGGUUUUAAUGUUCUUUCAAGUUCAGGGUGAGCUUUUUUGUGAUUUUUUGUGGAUUUAUUCAUGGAAAAUUGUGUUAGUUUUUUAUAAGCUCUACCUCUCUCAAGGUUGAACCGAGCCAACUGACUGACCUGUUUAUGUUUAAGAAGUGUCAAUCAGAGCACUUUUCCUAAGUGAGUUCGAGGGAGGACAAGAGAUUGAAAUGAGAGUGGUUGUCAGCAAAACCUGUAGCCAUGUAGGUUGCUUCAGUGUUUGUUGGAGCCUUAUGUCUAAUAACUAAGGAGAUUUGUUUAUAUCUUCCUAGCAAAUUGUUUUAUCUUUCCAGUUCCUUGAUCCGAUCACUUGCCAAAAGGCACGUCUUAACUACAUCAGACUGUCCAUUUUAUGUUCUGCUGUAAUUAUUGCCAUGCUUAUAUGCAUCAUUUGUUAUCCAUAGUGGUAUUGGUUGAUGCAAAUUUUGAAUUAGUGUUUGUUUUCUUCUGGUACUCUACAAUGCAUUUGGUCUUUGUGUUCUAGUAGGUGCAUUAAAAG